GUGUGUGUGUGUGUGUGUGUGUGUGUGUGUGUGUGUGUACUAACAUUUAUGUCGGUGUGGGUUCCCAUCGGUGGGAGCACAUCCACCUAAGGAGUUCCAAAAUCGGAGUGGGGCCCAAAAUGGUGGGCCCCAAUCCGAUUUCAAUUAAAAUAAGCUCAGCAGCUUCCCCUGAUGCUACCAUUGCUUUUUUUUUCAUCUCUAAAAAGUGGCCCGUAAGGUAGCAAAAAGUGGGUAAGUGUGUGAAGGUGUGUAUGGUCGAGCCUUUUUUAACCGGAAGUCAGGAUAUACACUUCCCGCGAAUUCAAAUACACACCGCGGGAAUCUGAAACCUUUGGCCAAUGAAAUUACUGCACUGUAUAAUUAGGCGCGAAAGUAAGGAAAACUGCGGAAAUUGCACAAGAAGAAGUAGAAGAAGAAGAAGAAGACUUCAAGGAUUGAAGAUUGAAGACAGAAGAAGACGGAGUGGUUGAAAAUCUGAAUAUUUUUACAAAUACCGACCUCUGAUGCAACAGGGCCAUUAUGUCCACAAGGAGGAUGAGGAAAAAGCCUAUAGAUGAUGCAAAGACAUACAUUCUGUCUUGCACUGACAAGGAUGGGUUUAUGCCAAGAUUCAUUGACCAUUACAAAGGAAGAGGAGUGUUUGCCACACACCCCAUUGAACCCGGGGACUUCGUGUUGGAGUACAGGGGUAAACUCCUCACACAGGUGGAAUG